rnacentral:misc_RNA from 1 species
AAANGGCCAAGCAUUAGCAGCGAACCCAAAGCCAUUGUACAGGAGAGACNGUCAUUCUUAUAUCGGGACAGCGAGAUCAUAGAAGAAAAUGAAUCCCUCCACUCGCAAAGCAUUCUGCAUCCGAGAGCACAAGCGACUUCCCAUGUGCCAAAAGUAGCCAAAAAAGCAUACCAGGCACACGACAGCCGCUGUAUGGUUCAUCCAAUGCCACCUUUGAUGGGGAAAAGAUGAAUAGCAUUACGCAACAAUAUUGGAUUCCGCUAAGUGGGUAUGCAACACAGAAACCCAUUCUUGCCCGACAUAGCAACAUGCCUUCGAGAC